GGUGGAUGACGUAGCCGCCGGAGUAGUCCAUGACGCCCCAUUGGAAGAGGAAGCCGCCUCCCCAGAGGGAGAAGGCGCCGAUGGUGUAGGAGAAGGUGAGCCACAAGGGGACGAAGAGAAUCCACGCCUUGAAGUUCAUGCGGCCGAGGAGGGAGCCGGCAAGGAGGAUGAGGGUGAUGGCCGCAAAGACGCACUGGAAGUACACCAUGGAGGCCAUGGGGUACAGGAGUUCGAGUUCG
rnacentral:lncRNA from 1 species